UACGUAGGGGGCUAGCGUUGUCCGGAAUCAUUGGGCGUAAAGAGCGUGUAGGCGGCUUGGUAAGUCCGCUGUGAAAGUCCAGGGCUCAACCCUGGAAUGCCAGUGGAUACUGUCAAGCUAGAGUCCGGAAGAGGCGAGUGGAAUUCCUGGUGUAGCGGUGAAAUGCGCAGAUAUCAGGAGGAACACCAAUGGCGAAGGCGAUCAUCUGGGGUUGUUCUGACACUGAGGAGCGAAAGCUAGGGGAGCAAACGGG
rnacentral:rRNA from 1 species